rnacentral:rRNA from 1 species
ACGGGAGGCAGCAGUGGGGAAUAUUGCGCAAUGGGCGAAAGCCUGACGCAGCGACGCCGCGUGAGGGAAGAAGGUCUUCGGAUCGUAAACCUCUGUCAGAAGGGAAGAAGUUAUGCCGUGCCAAUCAGCGGCAUAUUGACGGUACCUUCAGAGGAAGCACCGGCUAACUCCGUGCCAGCAGCCGCGGUAAUACGGAGGGUGCGAGCGUUAAUCGGAAUUACUGGGCGUAAAGCGCUCGUAGGCUGUUUAUCAAGUCAAGGGUGAAAUCCCCGUGCUUACCAUGGGAACUGCCUUUGAAACUGGUAGACUUGAGUAUGUGAGAGGAUAGCGGAAUUCCGGGUGUAGCAGUGAAAUGCGUAGAUAUCCGGAAGAACAUCAGUGGCGAAGGCGGCUAUCUGGCACAAAACUGACGCUGAGGAGCGAAAGCGUGGGUAGCAAACAGGAUUAGAUACCCUGGUA